rnacentral:rRNA from 1 species
CGCCGCGUGCAGGAUGACGGUCUUCGGAUUGUAAACUGCUUUUAUUUGGGAAGAUUAUGACGGUACCAAAUGAAUAAGGACCGGCUAACUACGUGC